rnacentral:rRNA from 1 species
CCCUUAGAUGCCCUGGGCCGCACGCGCGCUACACUGGUCGAUGCAACGAGUUUCUUUCCUUGGCCGACAGGCCUGGGCAAUCUUUGAACAUCGAUCGUGAUCGGGAUAGAUUCUUGUAAUUUUUGAUCUUAAACGAGGAAUUCCUAGUAAACGCAAGUCAUCAGCUUGCAUUGAUUACGUCCCUGCCCUUUGUACACACCGCCCGUCGCACCUACCGAUUGAAUGGUCCGGUGAAAUCUCCGGACUGGCGUGAGUCGGAGCAAUCUGACAAACACCGGAAAGUUGAUUAAACCUUACCAUUUAGAGGAAGGUGAAGUCGUAACA